CCAAAACGCGCGCGGGGGAGGGGAGGAGGAGAAGGGGAGGGGCCCCAAAGGUCACCUGGCCACACCUGGGCACACCUGGGAACAUCUGGGGUAGCCCCAAAGGUCACGGGGGGUCCCUGGGCCUCCCCCCUCACCUCCAGGUGAGCUCAGGUGUAAUGGCAGAUAUGAGCACAGGUGUGCCCAGGUACCCCCAGGUGUGCCCAGGUACCCCCAGGUGUGCCCAGUUUUGUCCUUAAGAGCACUCAGGUGUGCCCAGGGUGGCACCAGGAGCUCCCAGGUGUGCCCAGGUGUAUCUCUAAGAGCACUCAGGUGUGCCCAGGUACCCCCAGGUGUGCCCAGGUGUGUCUCUAAGAGCCCUCAGGUGUGCCCAGGUGUGUCCCAGGUGUGCCCAGCUGUAUUUGGGGGAUCCUCAGGUAUUUCCCAGGUACCCCCAGGUGCCUCCAGGUCUAUCCCAGCUGUGCCCAGGUACGCUCAGGUGUGCCCAGAAGCUGCCAGGUGUAUCCCAGGUGUAUCCCAGGUAUCCCCAGGUGUGCCCAAGCCCAUCCGAGGUACCCCCAGGUGUGUCCCAGGUACCCCCAGGUGUGCCCAGGUCGAUCCCAGGAGUACCUCAGGUACCCUUAGGUACCCUCAGGUGUGCCCAGAUACCCCCAGAUAAGUCCAGGUCGAUCCCAGGUGUGCCCAGGUGUCUCCAGGUGAGCACCCAGGUGUACCCUAGCCACACCCAGGUCUAUCCCAGCUACCCCCAGGUGCCCCCAGGUGCCCCCAGGUCUAUCCAGGUGCUUCCAGGUGCCCCCAUGUAUGCCCAGGUGAGCACCCGGAUGUACCCUAGCCACACCCAGGGCUAUCCCAGGUACCCCCAGGUGUACCCAGGUGUGCCCAGGUGUGCCCAGCUCAGCACCUGGGUGAGCCCUAGCCACCCCCAGGGUACCCCCAGGUGUGCCCAGGUGUGCCAGGUCU